rnacentral:lncRNA from 1 species
UCGAGUGGUCAAAUACCCAGCUAGUGGGACCAGUUUAUGGAUUGAACAAGAAUAGUACGACUUCGGGCUGGGCUGGAUGGAACAAGUGCGAGCCUUUGACAAUCUUCGUACACAGCAGCCAAACUUCUAAUUUAGAAAAAUUAUUCAAACAAAAAAACUUUUACUGUUCCGGUUGAAAGGCAAAUUAGAUUUUUACAAAUAUCCAAAUUCGCUGUGCCGUAGGAAAAGAGAAGUAGAACUACUCCCACCAAAUCGAUGAGCCUGAUUAUCCCUAAACCCAAUGUGAGUUUUUCUAUUUUGACUUGCUCCCCCGCCGUGAUCGAACGAGAAUG